rnacentral:rRNA from 1 species
AGGACGAACGCUGGCGGCGUGCUUAACACAUGCAAGUCGAGCGGUGAUCCUCCUUCGGGAGGUGAUCAGCGGUGAACGGGUGAGUAACACGUGGGCAACCUGCCCCUCACACUGGGAUAACCUCGGGAAACCGGGGCUAAUACCGGAUACGACCUCGAGCGGCAUCUCUUGAGGUGGAAAGCUCCGACGGUGAGGGAUGGGCCCGCGGCCUAUCAGCUUGUUGGUGGGGUAAUGGCCUACCAAGGCGACGACGGGUAGCCGGCCUGAGAGGGCGACCGGCCACGACUGGGACUGAGACACGGCCCAGACUCCUACGGGAGGCAGCAGUGGGGAAUAUUGCGCAAUGGGCGAAAGCCUGACGCAGCGACGCCGCGUGAGGGAUGACGGCCUUCGGGUUGUAAACCGUCUUUCAGCAGGGACGAAGCGAAGUGACGGUACCUGCAGAAGAAGCACCGGCUAACUACGUGCCAGCAGCCGC